CUCAAAGUCAAUCAAACACAUUAACUUAGAACCUAGAUGCCGAGCAGUUUAAGUAAUGAGAAAAACAAACUACAAAAAUAUCCAUAUUUUUCCGAGCUCGAUAAUUCGAAUUUUAUAUAGAUUUUGAAAUGGUUCAUCCUGAAUCUAUUAUACGCAUACACAUGUUAAGAAAUAUCGUUAUUAUGUUUUUCGACGAGGGGAGGGUGGCUUCCGCUUGUUGGAUGUUACUGGAACAGUGAAAGACGGGACGAGGUAAUCGUUGCAAUCAUGGCUGACUUCAAUUUUAGGUAGGCCGGUCUUGCCAUUUUCGCGAUCUCAUUUUAUUUAUCGACAGUGCUUACAACAGAAAACUAUCAGCAUCGACAGAGGAAAGUAACAAUUGUCUCCCUUGCACCAUUAUUGCGUCGAAUUUGAAAAUACAAUGCAGACUAAAUGAAAUUAUAAUAAAUAUCAUGUGUAAUUACAAAUUAAAAAUUAGGAAUUGAUUAUACUAGGACUAGGCAAGAAAGCUAAAGGGGUAAAUUGUAAUACAGAGGUUAUUAGUAUUAGAUCAAUGAGCGAUUACGUGACGUUUACUUAGUAAUGAAUGAGAAUGCAAACUAUAUUUUAAUUUUUUUUUUAAUAACAAACUGAUAAAACAAAAGUUAGGAAUCCAUCAAAUUGGAGAUAUUUAAAAAAUUGUUCGAGUUACCGUGUUGAGAGAAUGAGGUAAAUGAAAAUACGAGAGAAUAGCUUGUCGUCAAAAUGCUUUUUCAAAUUAGAAAAUCACUUUUACAGUUGUCAUUUUAACAGGAAAUGACGUUAAAAACGUAUUGACGAAUAUUUGUUUUUCAAUCACGCCGUGGAGGUAGUUGAGACAUCGAUUCGUCUAUGGAUCGUAAGUUUUCAUACCUCGUAAUAAACGUGUGCAGUCGUAAAUCUAGCUAACUCAACUGUACAGAUUUCGAUAUAAUGAUAUCAAAUGUAUAGCUAAUCACGACGAGACAUUCAUCAAUAUUUAGUUGUUAGAUAUUAGCAACAUAAACUUUCAUCAUCAUCGUUUUAACGUCCACUUAUACACACUUGCAUGGGUCAGACGGAAUUUGUAGAGGCAGAUUUUCUAUAGCCGGAUGCACUUCCUAUCGCCAAACCUCAUUUGUUACCAACAUAAUAUUCUCCAUACCAAAAACAUUUUCCAUGGAAAACUGGAAACUAAGAAUGCCGCUUCUAUGUCUGACAUUCGUUUAAAACUAUCACAUGAAGUCAUGAAGCCAGUCAAGAAAGUAUUAAAGUCCAACGCAACUACAUGUAAUGAUGAUAAAAUCAUUGCAGGGCCUAAGUUGACAGCAAUCAAGAAGUUCCAGCCAGUAUCAUCAACAUCUUUUGUAUAUCUAAGACAUUAUCCAUUGAGUCCUCUCUUUUUUAAGGGAAGUAGAACAUAGUGUGAGAGGGAUGUGGUUGCUUUUUUUUAGCAAGUUGUUGUUUAUCCCCCAAGGUAACUCUAAUCAAGCAGACUUAAGCUUAAAAGCAUUGUGAUCAUUUCAUCUUUUUCCAAGACUAAUCCUCCUUGGAUCACAUUAUCCAACAUACCAUUUUCUAAGAUGAUAGGGUAUGAUAUAAACUAGAUUUUGUUGCUCUUUCUAGUAAGUUGUGACCAAAGAGACGUACUGUUGUUGUGUAAUAAUGUUGAAGUAUUAAAAGAGACUGCCAAGUAAAAAUCAUGAAUAGAAUUUAAAAAAUAACUUGCUAAUGAAUCAAUCCACAAUGCAGGUUAUUUUCUAUUUUAACAAAAGUCCUUAUAUAACGUAGAUAGUAAAAAGGCAAACCAAACUUGCUGAGCAAGAUAACAUGGUCACAUAGUCAUUAAAUAAUAAAAGAACCAAGCAGUUUCCUAUAUUAAGAUAUACUUGUAUUUCAUAUGAAAAUUUAUUUCUUUAUUGCCCACAGGAGGCUAAACAUAGAGGAAACAGACAAAGGGAUGAGAAAAUGCAGAUGACCCAAUGGUUAGGUGGGCUCUUGAUGAUAAGGUAAUGGAUUCAAUACUUGGCCCAAGUGGAUCAUUGUGUCCUUGAGCAAGACAUUUCACAUUACUCCCAAUCCUCCCAGUAGGUAAAAAUGGACAAUUAACACUGGUAGAGCAUCUGGCUAGUGUCAAGUUAGCUGAUAUGUUGAUAUGACUAAAAACCCUCAGCCAUGAAAGAUGGCUACAUCCAGCAGUUGACAGCUAUAUCCUAUCUUUACCCUGUUAUUUAUACUCAUUUUCCAGCUAACGUUUUCAAAUUUGGACCUUUGUAUAUCGUUAGAAGAAAUGUUGCUAACCACUGAACUAUGAAGUAAAAGGAGCUGACCUAUUGUGCCCUGGGACACAAUACAAUUGUUGCAGUAGCAUGGUUGGGAUUUAUUACAUGAUCUGCCAUCCCCAACUCUAUCCUUUUACCACUACCUUCUUACACCCUCAUAAACUUAACUACUGUCUGUUCUCUGUUACACUUCUCAUUCAUAUUCACCUUCUUGUACCUUGAGGGUGACACCUAACCACUACCAUCUUUUCUCCUUUUCUCUCUUUCUCGCUGGUGGAGCCAUGCAUCUCGUCAACAGCAAGAUACCUGUUCCUGUCCCUCUAUCUCAGUGGUUCUCAACCAAGGUCCAUAUAAGAUUUUUGGGGGUCCACACAACAAAAUAGUAAA